AGAAUAAGUUUUGGUGUCUAUUAUGAACCUGGUUCAAAUGUAGAUCUUACUGUUUUAAUAAAAUUUUAAUUAAAUGUUAAAUUUAUUUCCAUUUUUUAUUAUUAUAAAAUUUAAUUUUUCUUAAGUAAUAGUCGACCCUUAGAACAUUUUUUAGAGGUCCAUAUUAGAUGCCCUCGUACUUACAUUACAAAGUAGCAUAUACAACACAACAUAGGGAGAAAAAUUAACAAAAAAAUAAAGAAAAAAGAGGAAAAAAAUGUUGGAGCAGAGUGCAUUAUCAUUUUUUGUACACUUGAUGAAGACCGCCAAAGAAUGCACAAAUUUUUACCAACCAUCAUCUCUAAGAUUGUCAUGAAGGAUGGAUUUAGAAGGAUCAUUUGGUGAAUGAAUAUAUGCACCACUAACUAUGCUUGUACUUGCUGUUGAAUUGUAAUUACUUGUAUCUAAUCCCUCUGCUGAAGUGUCAGUCAUGAUGCUGCUCACGUCGCCAAAUUUCCAGUCAGUCCAGUAUUCGGGCCUUGAUGUUACUGUGCUCACUUCAAUAUCUCCUAAAAGCAUUGCCACUACACGUGACAUUGAUGGUCGUAAAUUUGGUGAUGUCUGAGUGCACAACAAUCCUAUUCCCACAAGGCGUUCGACUUCUUCCAUGUUGAAUUCUGAUAGUCUAGGAUCUAUCAGAUCAUUUAUACAGUUUCUUUCAUGAAGCUGCCAAGCCUAAACAAAACAUGAAUAACAACAUUGAGAAAUGUUUGAAAGCUAUAAACAAUGGAAAUGGUUUGAAUAUUCAUGAGCUAUAUAAGAGAAACAAAAGAAAAAUUUUAGACCUUAUACAAAGGAGGUUAGGACUUCAUGAUCAAAUCAGGACUAAUGUGAAGAUGAUUUUGUUAUCUUUGGAUGUUGACUACACAAAUCUUUUCGUUUUGACUUUUGAGCAAUAGAUUUUAUAACAUUUAUCGACAACAUUAGUUAUAUUUGGGUAAAACAAUCGCAGACAACAAUUAGUUUUAUCAUGCAUUGAGGUGGACGAUAAAUUGCAUCCAUGUCAUAUUCCCUUUUUGUUAGCGUUAAUCUUCACAGUCAAUUUUAAUAUAUUAUGAUGUGUUCUAGUGUCAAAUGAGGAUGCAACUUUUACUUGGUUGUUGAAAACAUGGUGAUAAUGUAUGCAUGAUGAAUGUGAAAAAUGAAGUUAAGAUUGUUUUCAAGAAGCUCGUCAUAGACAUAAAUGGUGAUAUUGACAUUUAAUAGAAAAGGUUUCUGAAAAGUGGGUGUAACACAUUACACAUUGAGAUAGUUAAGCCUGGCCGAAUCAGAAUAUUCACUUGUUUAUAUAACAGUAAAUGAAACAAAAGCAGCAUGCAUACCCAGUCUAGAAGAUACAUCUUAUCUUCUUCCAAACUUGAAUCAGAAUUUGGUCUCCCACUAACUAACUCCAGAGCCACAACACCAAAG
rnacentral:lncRNA from 1 species